rnacentral:rRNA from 1 species
AGAGUUUGAUCCUGGCUCAGGACGAACGCUGGCGGCGUGCUUAACACAUGCAAGUCGAGCGAUGAAGUUUCUUCGGAAAUGGAUUAGCGGCGAACAGGUGAGGAACACGUGAAGAAUCUGCCCUCCACUUUGGGAUAACACCGGGAAACCGGUGCUAAUACCGAAUAUUGAAACAUAAGUGGCAUCACUGAGUUUUGAAAGAAUUUCGGUGGAGGAUGACUUCGCGGCCUAUCAGCUAGUUGGUGAGGUAAUGGCUCACCAAGGCAACGACGGGUAGCCGGCCUGAGAGGGCGACCGGCCACACUGGGACUGAGA